GGGGAAUAUUGCGCAAUGGGGGAAACCCUGACGCAGCAAUACCGCGUGAGAGAAGAAGGUUUUCGGAUCGUAAAGCGCUGUUAUUGGGGAAGAAAAAAAGACGGUACCCAAGAAGAAAGUCCCGGCUAACUACGUGCCAGCAGCCGCGGUAAUACGUAGGGGACAAGCGUUGUCCGGAUUUACUGGGCGUAAAGGGCACGCAGGCGGUUUUUUAAGUCAGAUGUGAAAGGUACCGGCUCAACCGGUGACAUGCAUUUGAAACUGAAAGACUUGAGUAUUGGAGAGGUAAUCGGAAUUCCUAGUGUAGCGGUGAAAUGCGUAGAUAUUAGGAGGAAUACCAGUGACGAAGGCGACUCUCUGGACUUAAACUGACGCUGAGGCACGAAAGCGUGGGGAGCAAACA
rnacentral:rRNA from 1 species